rnacentral:rRNA from 1 species
UACGUAGGCAGCGAGCGUUUGUUCGGAGUUACUGGGGCGUAAAGCGUGCGUAGGCGGUGGCCUAAGUCUGUUGUGAAAUCUCCCGGCUUAACCGGGAGGGUGCGGCGGAAACUGGGUUGCUGGAGUGCGGGAGAGGUAAGCGGGAAUUCCCGGUGUAGCGGUGAAAUGCGUAGAUAUCGGGGAGGAACACCUGCGGUGUAGACGGCUUCUGGACCGUAACUGACGCUGAGGCACGAAAGCGUGGGGAGCAAACAGG